rnacentral:rRNA from 1 species
GACGAACGCUGGCGGCGUGCCUAAUACAUGCAAGUAGAACGCUGAAGGAGGAGCUUGCUUCUCUGGAUGAGUUGCGAACGGGUGAGUAACGCGUAGGUAACCUGCCUGGUAGCGGGGGAUAACUACUGGAAACGAUAGCUAAUACCGCAUAAUAGUAGAUGUUGCAUGACAUUUGCUUAAAAGGUGCAAUUGCAUCACUACCAGAUGGACCUGCGUUGUAUUAGCUAGUUGGUGGGGUAACGGCUCACCAAGGCGACGAUACAUAGCCGACCUGAGAGGGUGAUCGGCCACACUGGGACUGAGACACGGCCCAGACUCCUACGGGAGGCAGCAGUAGGGAAUCUUCGGCAAUGGACGGAAGUCUGACCGAGCAACGCCGCGUGAGUGAAGAAGGUUUUCGGAUCGUAAAGCUCUGUUGUAAGAGAAGAACGAGUGUGAGAGUGGAAAGUUCACACUGUGACGGUAUCUUACCAGAAAGGGACGGCUAACUACGUG